rnacentral:rRNA from 1 species
AGCAUAUGCUUGACUUGGAGAUUAAGCCAUGCAUGUCUAAGCAUAGGUCUUCUACGAUCGAAACUGCGAAUGGCUCAUUAAACCAGUUAUAAUUUAUUUGGUGUUUUUUUUACAUGGAUAACCGUGGGAAACUAGGGCUAAUACAUGCGCAAACCCUCCGGGGUGUAUUUAUUAGUUACAAACUAAUGUCAUUUGAGGAAUCAUAAUAACUGAUCGAAGCGAAUCACUUCGCUAAAUCAUUCAAGUUUCUGCCCUAUCAGCUUUCGAUGGUAGUGUAUUGGACUACCAUGGCAGUAACGGGUAGCGGGGAAUUAGGGUUCGAUUCCGGAGAGGGGGCCUGAGAAAUGGCCACCAUUUCUAUGGAAGGCAGCAGGCGCGAAAAUUACCCAAUCCUGACUCAGGGAGGUAGUUAAUAGAAAUAACAACUUCGUGGGUUUCCCAUUGAAGUGCGUAAUGAGUGCUAUGUAAACAAAAGUACGAAUCUAU